rnacentral:lncRNA from 10 species
GUAUCCUGUGACCUCAGACAGAUUAUGCUCAUUACCUUCUCUCUGAGUUUAUUUCAUCCUGUAUAAAAUGGCAAGAAUGACAAUUUCAACGGCUGCAUAGAAUGACAGAGGGACUUCACAGGGUUGUCAUAAGUAUAAAAUGAAAUAAAUAACCAGGCGUGGUGGCUCACGCCUGUAAUCCCAACACUUUGGGAGGCUGAGGCAGGCAGAUCACAAGGUCAGGAGUUCAAGACCAACCUGGCCAACAUGGUGAAACCCUGUGUCUACUAAAAAUACAAAAAUCAGCCAGGUGUGGUGGUAGGCACCUGUAAUCCCAGCUACUCGGGAGGCUGAGGCAGGAGAAUUGCUUGAACCCGGGAGGCGGAGGUUGCAGUGAGCGGAGAUCACGCCACUGUACUCCAGCCUGGGGGACAGAGCAAGACUCUGUCUCAAAAGAAAAAAAAAUGAAAUAAAUAAUAUUAGAAAAGCUCUUAGCCCAGAACCCUCAGUGCCCAGUAGAUGCUCUUCGGAAAAGGCCCUAAGAAGCCAUCAAAGAUAUGUCAUGGAGGAAGCCAUCGAAGAGGAAAGAGGAAGCUUUGUAACAGUUUACCUGGGAGGAAUAACAAGCUGCCAUAUGAAUACUGAUGAGAAAGGAGGUGGGAGAGACAUUUGAUCAUCAAUCAAGUUAUGAUUAUGAACACUCAGUUAAGAAAGAAAUGUGAAGUCAGUGUUCCUGAACAUGAAGAACAAGACCAGGGGUUGGGUUUUGGAGUCACACGGACUUUUUUUGUUCCAGCUCAUUUGUCUUUUUACCCAUUAAUAAAUUAAUCUAAACUCUAGAUUCCAGAGCCAGUUUGAUCUCUUUCAGGAGGCCCUGUGUCAAUUUGGUUUCGACCUCCUGGUCCUGAGGGUUGAUACUGAGUGCUACAUACUCAUUCACUGAGCAGUGUGUUAAUUCUGGGGCUGCUGUGUUGAGUGAGACAGACUCAAUUUCUACCCUCCAACUCCAAGAAGGAAGUGAAGUAGGUCCCUAGAAAAAUGUCAGGUAAUUAAGGGAAAAGCCUAGGGGUCAUCCAUGUUGAGAAUGGAGGCAGAUGCUAUGGUCUGAAAGUUUAUGUCCCUCAGAACUUGUAUGCUGAAACCUAACCUCCAAGGGGAUGAUGGAUGGUAUUAGAGUUGGGGGAUUGGGUCAUGAUGGCAGCACCCUCACGAAUGGAAUUAGUGCCUCUUAUAAAAGAGAGACCUCUUGCCCCAUCUACCAUGUGAAGACACAUGAGAAGAUGCCAUCUGUGACCCAGGAAAUGCCUGCAUUAGAAACCAGAUCUGCCGGUGCCUUGAGCUUGAACUUUACAGCCUGCAGGACUGUGAGAAAUAAAUCUCUGUAGUUUAUAGGCUGCUCCAUUUACGAUAUUUUGAUAUAGUAGCCCAAACUACUAAGACAGUGGAGGAAGAGUAACCAAGAGAGAUACAAAAGAAGUUAGGGGUAGAACAGGAGUCAAGGAAACCGGGGAAUUCAAGGAAGAUCGAUUACUCACCAGGGUCAAAAGCAGGAACUCAAUCAGAAGAACAAGA